UAGGGAAUAUUGCACAAUGGGGAAGACCCUGAUGCAGCGACGCCGCGUGAAGGAAGAAGUAUCUCGGUAUGUAAACUUCUAUCAGCAGGGAAGAAAAUGACGGUACCUGACUAAGAAGCCCCGGCUAACUACGUGCCAGCAGCCGCGGUAAUACGUAGGGGGCAAGCGUUAUCCGGAUUUACUGGGUGUAAAGGGAGCGUAGACGGCAGUGCAAGUCUGAAGUGAAAGCCCGGGGGCUCAACCCCCAGGGCACUGCUUUGGGAAAUCUGUGCAGCUAGAGUGUCGGAGAGGCAAGCGGAAUUCCUAGUGUAGCGGUGAAAUGCGUAGAUAUUAGGAGGAACACCAGUGGCGAAGGCGGCUUGCUGGACGAUGACUGACGUUGAGGCUCGAAAGCGUGGGGAGCAAACAGGAUUAGAUACCC
rnacentral:rRNA from 1 species